rnacentral:rRNA from 1 species
UGGAAGGAGAGAUGGCUUAAAGGGGUACGCGGGCUUCUUCCGCGAAUCUGCUCCAGGAUGGGACUGCGUCCGAUCAGGCUGUUGGCGGGGUAAUGGCCCACCAAACCUGUAACCGGUACGGGCCUUGAGAGAGGUGGCCCGGAGAUGGACACUGAGAGAAGGGUCCAGGUCCUACGGGGCGCAGCAGGCGCGAAACCUUCGCAAUGCGCGAAAGCGUGACGAGGUUAAUCCGAGUGACUUCCGCUGAGGAGGUCUUUUGUCAGCUGUAAAUAGGCAGGCGAAUAAGGGGAGGGCAAGCCUGGUGUCAGCCGCCGCGGUAAUACCAGCUCCUCGAGUGGUCGGGGCGAUUAUUGGGCCUAAAGCAUCCGUAGCCGGUUCCGUAGGUCCUCUGUUAAAUCCAACCGCUUAACGGUUGACCUGCAGAGGAUACCGCGGGACUAGGAGGCGGGAGAGGCGGACGGUACUCCGCGUGUAGGGGUAAAAUCCUUUGAUCCGCGGAA